rnacentral:rRNA from 1 species
AUUGAACGCUGGCGGCAUGCCUUACACAUGCAAGUCGAACGGCAGCACGGGUGCUUGCACCUGGUGGCGAGUGGCGAACGGGUGAGUAAUACAUCGGAACGUACCUUAUCGUGGGGGAUAACGCAGCGAAAGCUGCGCUAAUACCGCAUACGCCCUGCGGGGGAAAGCGGGGGAGCGUAAGGCCUCGCCCAAUGAGAGCCGCCGAUGUCUGAUUAGCUUGUUGGUGAGGUAAAAGCUCACCAAGGCGAUGAUCAGUAGCUGGUCUGAGAGGACGAUCAGCCACACUGGGACUGAGACACGGCCCAGACUCCUACGGGAGGCAGCAGUGGGGAAUUUUGGACAAUGGGGGCAACCCUGAUCCAGCAAUGCCGCGUGAGUGAAGAAGGCCUUCGGGUUGUAAAGCUCUUUUGUCAGGGAAGAAACAGCAGCUCUAACACAGUCUGCGAAUGACGGUACCUGAAGAAUAAGCACCGGCUAACUACGUGCCAGCCGCCGCAGUAA